ANGUUCCUWCAGACUCUGGCCCUUGGGUAGACCUCCCACCCUGUNUCGUUAUGCCUCUGUUGCUUUGGCGGGCCGCGGGGCUCCGGCCCUGCCCCUGGCUCCGGCUCGGGCGCGCCCGCCAGAGGACUCUAAAACCUGAACGUUAGUGUCGUCUGAGUACCAUGUAAUAGUUAAAACUUUCAACAACGGAUCUCUUGGUUCUGGCAUCGAUGAAGAACGCAGCGAAAUGCGAUAAGUAAUGUGAAUUGCAGAAUUCAGUGAAUCAUCGAAUCUUUGAACGCACAUUGCGCCCCUUGGUAUUCCGGGGGGCAUGCCUGUUCGAGCGUCAUUGCACCCUCAAGCUCUGCUUGGUCUUGGGCGUCACCGGUCCCCGGUGUGCCUUAAAAUCAGUGGCGGCGCCGUCUGGCUCUAAGCGUAGUACAUACUCUCGCUACAGACGCCCGGCGGACGCUGGCCAGCAACCCCCAAUCUAUCAAGGUUGACCUCGGAUCAGGUAGGGAUACCCGCUGAACUUAAGCAUAUCAAUAAGCGGAGGAAAAGAAACCAACAGGGAUUACCCCAGUAACGGCGAGUGAAGCGGUAACAGCUCAAAUUUGAAAUCUGGGUCUUUCAGGCUCCGAGUUGUAAUUUGUAGAAGAUGCUUUGGGUGCGGCCCCGGUCUAAGUUCCUUGGAACAGGACGUCAUAGAGGGUGAGAAUCCCGUAUGUGAUCGGUGGCUUGCGCCCGUGUAAAGCUCUUUCGACGAGUCGGGUUGUUUGGGAAUGCAGCUCUAAAUGGGUGGUAAAUUUCAUCUAAAGCUAAAUAUUGGCCAGAGACCGAUAGCGCACAAGUAGAGUGAUCGAAAGAUGAAAAGCACUUUGGAAAGAGAGUUAAACAGUACGUGAAAUUGUUGAAAGGGAAGCGCUUGCAACCAGACUUGCGCGGGGUUGAUCAUCCGGGGUUCUCCCCGGUGCACUCGGCCUCGCUCAGGCCAGCAUCGGUUCCGGUGGUUGGAUAAAGGCCUUGGGAAUGUGACUUCCUUNGNGGAGUGUUAUAGCCCUCGGUGCAAUGCNNNCACCGGNNAGANACCCUC
rnacentral:rRNA from 1 species